UACAGAGGUCUCAAGCGUUGUUCGGAUUCACUGGGCGUAAAGGGUGCGUAGGCGGGUUGUUAAGUCAGGGGUGAAAUCCUGGAGCUCAACUCCAGAACUGCCUUUGAUACUGGCGAUCUUGAGUCCGGGAGAGGUGAGUGGAACUGCGAGUGUAGAGGUGAAAUUCGUAGAUAUUCGCAAGAACACCAGUGGCGAAGGCGGCUCACUGGCCCGGUACUGACGCUGAGGUGCGAAAGCGUGGGGAGCAAACAGG
rnacentral:rRNA from 1 species